rnacentral:sRNA from 1 species
CUUGGUUCCGGAUACACCACACAUACAUCGUCACACGCGACCGGGUGCCCAAUGUGGGUUGUCGCGUGCGGGUGUAUGGAGGCUCAAC